AGCCUCUCAGGGUCGCACCUGGAGAGUUUCCAGUAGUCUACUAGUCACGACUACAGGAGGAAAAGUCAAGCAGAUGCUUACCCGUUCCAUUCCUAGCUUGGCCAGUGGCUAGCAAGUGGAAGGCAACCUGCUACAAGU